GCAUGGUGACUUAGUGGUUAGCACGUUUGCCUCGCACCUCCAGGGUUGGGGGUUCGAAUCCCGCCAGCGUGCG